CACAAAGUGAAAGUACGUUUGUAAAAUCUUGCAUUAUAUUUUCACGCCGAACCUCAUUUUUACUCUAUAUUCAUUGAUGUGAGAUUGCAUCAUCUUUUGUUCAAUUUAGAGUUUUCGGGUGAAAUUAUUAUUUAGAGUAUUUUUAUGGUUUGCAUAAAUUUCCAUGUCUCAAUUUAAACAUCUUGCCGUUUAUUUCACAAAAAUCCUUUCAGUAAUAAGAAAGUUACAUUUUUGUUUUAUGAACCAGAUAUAUGUUUUAUGUCUGUAUUUGAAGGACGGGCUUUUAUUUUACAUAACUAUUUUUCCCGCCGUCCCAGCUUUAUUUCGUGCAAAUCGAUUUUUCAUGUUUUGCACGAUCCGUUUUCCCGCUCAGUACUCAGUAGUUUGCUAUAUAAUGACUAAAUUUUAAGUGAUAUAUUGCAAUGCACUGGACGUUAUACAGGUCACUAUGACGGUGACAGACAAAUUAUAUUUGUCAUAAAAUUACAGCUUGUACAAGCUUCUUAUUUGAGGACACACCCGAAGAUGACACGGGCCCUCCACACGUAUGUCCAUGGCUAAAGGGUGACGCAUGCCCUUGUUCAGGAUCCUAUCAACUGUGCCAACACUGUAGGAAGUACAGUUACGCUUGAUAAGAUUUUAUACAAGACGCCCGCCAUUGUGACGAAUUUUGUUCAACAACGCCACCACUUUAUUGAAACAUCAUGACAGAAACUUUACGGAGAAAUAGACUGAGAUACGUUGAUAGUGUUUGGAGAAAUAGACUGAGAUACGUUGAUAGUGUUUGUUUGCGCAGUGAUUUUUCAUAUAUAAUCAUUUUUCAUUUAUAAAUAUUCGUUUCUUGUAAAUAAAUUUGUAUAUAUUUUC